rnacentral:rRNA from 1 species
AAUCAACGCUGGCGGCGUACCUCAGACAUGCAAGUCGAACGCGAAAGUUUCCUUCGGGAGACAAGUAGAGUGGCGCACGGGUGAGUAACACGUAGGUAAUCUACCUUUGGAUGGGGAAUAACAACCGGAAACGGUUGCUAAUACCGCAUAAUGCAGCGGCACCUAAUGGUGACAGUUGUUAAAGCGGGGGAUCGAAAGACCUCGCGUCUGAAGAGGAGCCUGCGGCGGAUUAGCUAGUGGUAAGGUAAUGGCUUACCAAGGCUACGAUCCGUAACCGGCCUGAGAGGGCGGUCGGUCACACUGACACUGACAUACGGGUCAGACUCCUACGGGAGGCAGCAGUCGGGAAUUUUGGGCAAUGGGCGAAAGCCUGACCCAGCAACGCCGCGUGAAGGAUGAAAU